CAAGCAAGUUUUUAUUAACCUGCUGGGCUGCUCCACUGUGGAGGAGGUAGCCCCGCUUACAGGCUGCUGUGGGGUUUUAUAGGGCAAGGUGCUAGGUUGGGGUGGGGGAAACUGAGUAGAGUUGCAGGUGUUUCAACCAUUUCCUGGAAAUGUUUUUGCCUGCUUGGCUAGGCAAGCUUGGCUAGGCAAGGUGGGCAGAUGUCUUAACCACAUCCUGGAACUGUUUACCAGUUCUACUGAAAGUCUUGCAGAAGUGGCUGUAGAAAAAGUGGGGAGGUGUUUGUAGGUGGUCACAAAGGACCGUAUUGCAAAGGUCAUGGAGGAGGAGGAGGGGUAGCUUGGCUCUCUAACAUUCCAGCCUUUAAUAGGUGAUAAAGGAAGAGGAGUGACUUUAUCAUCUGACUGCUUCUAGCUGUAGAGGGGCGGUGUGCAAGGGGAAAGGCUUGGGGGGCUUGGGAUGGUUGUUCUUGAAGCCGCUGGUAUGCUUGAAGCAGCAGUAUACCUCGCACUGUUCCAUGGGUGAAGGUUUUGAUGUGGUCCUGUAAAAACUGGAUAAGGAGACACAUGAAGCAGGGUCCAAAAGCUAACAGAAGAAAGAUGGUUAUAGCUGGGCCAAGGAGGGGUAGUCGCCAGGGAACCCAGGAGCUGAGGGACCAUGAGGACCAGAGGGACCAGUCAAGUUCCUCUUCUGUAGAACUGCCUUGGAUUUCUGGGGAUUCACUUCAGGCCCUAUUCAUCCGGUUUGCUCCCAUGCUUGGAGAUGUCACUUGAGAAGGCUGGAGAAUAGCAAAGGCAAUAGGAAGGCCCAAGAAGAGGAAGAAAGAUUGAGGAAAUGGCCAGUUUGUGCAGCAGUCAGAACAUACGCAUUUACUGAUUAAGCUUGCUGUUAUAUAUGGAUGCAGUUUGUGGCACCUCAAAAUAAUUACAAAAGCAACAUUAAAGAUCACUGAUCACAAAUCACCAUAACAUAUAUAAUAAGAAUGGAAAAGUUUGGUAUAUUGCAAACAUGACCAAACUGUGACACAGAGACACAAAGUGAGUGCACGGUGUUUAAAAAAAUGGUGCAAUAGACUUACUCAACACAGGGUUGCCACAUAUCUUCAAUAUGUAAAAAAUGCAAAGUCUGCAAAGUGCAAUAAAGAAAAGCAUAAUACAAUGAAGUAUGCCUAUAGAUAAUUGCCAAUGACUCAUGUUCAGGAUUACAGAAAAAUGAGUGUUGUUGCUUUGAGAAGGAAAGGGUCCUGGGUCUGGGGUAUCAUAAGAAGUCAUAUCAGAAUGGAUAGAAACCAGAGGCUUGGUAAGAUGCUUCCCUUAAAAUGUCAGAAGGUAAAACUGUCAGAAACACCAUUGCCAGCACUCCUGAGCCUGGCAUGAGACUGAGGACCUUAAAUGUAGUGGCUAUAUAUCUCUCGUGUUCUGCUGUAGCCCUG
rnacentral:lncRNA from 10 species